rnacentral:rRNA from 1 species
AGUACGUACUGUAGGUCUGCGGGUGCGUAGAGGGGGGCGUAACGUGCAGCUGUGGCAAUGCAUAGAUGCGAGAGGGAGCGCACCCGACCAACACCAGCACCAGCACUGGUAACGACACUGGU